GUGAAGAACGCAGCGAAAUGCGAUACGUAGUGUGAAUUGCAGAAUUCAGUGAAUCAUCGAAUCUUUGAACGCACAUUGCACCUCUCGGUAUUCCGGGAGGUAUGCCUGUUCGAGCGUCAUUUGUACCCUCAAGCUCUGCUUGGUGUUGGGUGUUUGUUCCGCCUCUGUGUGUGAACUCGCCUCAAAACAAUUGGCAGCCGGCGUACUUGUUUCGGAGCGCAGCACAUUUUGCGAUCCAGAUCAACGUACAGCGGCAUCCAAGAAGCCUUAUUUAACGCUCUUGACCUCGGAUCAGGUAGGGAUACCCGCUGAACUUAAGCAUAUCAAUAAGCGGAGGA
rnacentral:misc_RNA from 1 species